UACGUAGGGUGCGAGCGUUGUCCGGAAUUAUUGGGCGUAAAGAGCUCGUAGGCGGUGUGUCACGUCGGCCGUGAAAACCUGCAGCUUAACUGUGGGCGUGCGGUCGAUACGGGCAUCACUGGAGUUCGGCAGGGGAGACUGGAAUUCCUGGUGUAGCGGUGAAAUGCGUAGAUAUAUGGAGGAAUACCAGUGGCGAAGGCGGCCUCCUGGCUCGAUACUGACGCUGAGGUGCGAAAGCGUGGGGAUCAAACAGG
rnacentral:rRNA from 1 species